GAUGAACGCUGGCGGCGUGCCUAAUACAUGCAAGUCGAGCGAACAGAUGAGGAGCUUGCUCCUCUGACGUUAGCGGCGGACGGGUGAGUAACACGUGGAUAACCUACCUAUAAGACUGGGAUAACUUCGGGAAACCGGAGCUAAUACCGGAUAAUAUAUUGAACCGCAUGGUUCAAUAGUGAAAGACGGUUUUGCUGUCACUUAUAGAUGGAUCCGCGCCGCAUUAGCUAGUUGGUAAGGUAACGGCUUACCAAGGCAACGAUGCGUAGCCGACCUGAGAGGGUGAUCGGCCACACUGGAACUGAGACACGGUCCAGACUCCUACGGGAGGCAGCAGUAGGGAAUCUUCCGCAAUGGGCGAAAGCCUGACGGAGCAACGCCGCGUGAGUGAUGAAGGUCUUCGGAGCGUAAAACUCUGUUAUUAGGGAAGAACAAAUGUGUAAGUAACUAUGCACGUCUUGACGGUACCUAAUCAGAAAGCCACGGCUAACUACGUG
rnacentral:rRNA from 1 species